rnacentral:tRNA from 1 species
GGCGUGGUAGCCAAGUGGUUAGGCAAUGGUUUGCAAAACCAUCACACGUGGGUUCGAAUCCCAUCCACGCCU